AACCCGACUCCGUGAAGCUGGAUUCGCUAGUAAUCGCGCAUCAGCCAUGGCGCGGUGAAUACGUUCCCGGGCCUUGUACACACCGCCCGUCAAGCCAUGGAAGCCGGGGGCGCUUGAAGUGCGUUGCCGCAAGGCGCGCCCUAGAGCGAAACCGGUGACUGGGGCUAAGUCGUAACAAGGUAAC
rnacentral:rRNA from 1 species